rnacentral:rRNA from 1 species
AGGGUGUAAACGCUGCAGACUUGGUGUUGGGGGCCCGUUUUCGGGGGGUCGAUUCAGUGCCGGAGAGAAGUUGUUAAGUCUGCUACUUGGGAGUACGUCCGCAAGGAUGAAACUUAAAGGAAUUGGCGGGGGAGGCACCGCAACGGGAGGAGCGUGCGGUCUAAUUGGAUUCAACACCGUAAACUCACCAGGGAAGACUGUUACAUGAAGGCCGAGAUGAAGACUCUGCUAGAUUUUUCAGAGAGGUGGUGCAUGGCGUCAGUGACU